rnacentral:lncRNA from 10 species
GAAAUUUAAGCAAUCUCAGUUCAGGCCCUAGCUCUGUGUUAGCAUGUGAAGUCUCCUGAGGAAGAGACUGCUUCCCAGGCUCGACAUUAUUUGGUUAGGGCCUUGGUCAGGAAGGACUUUCUGCAUGGAGUAAUGACCAGGUUAAGACCUGAAGAGACUACAGUGGUGGAGUACAUGGGCAGUAGGCACAGACGGCAGGGUGAUCGUAAGCCAGUUGCUCAAAGACCAGUGUGGAAAAGGCUUAAGAAGGAAGAGCACCAGAGGGAAAUUACCAUCUGGAGACAAAAUGACACUGGGAACUUGGAGGAAAACGUUCAGGCACACCGUAUGAGGAAGCAGAACACUGGUUGUAGGUUGUGUGUUGAUGGCUUUCUAUGAGUAAAUGCCCUGAAAAUGUAUGUGACUAAGCACCAUAAUGUGGAUUUCUGAAAGCUGAAUGACUUAAAGAAAAAUCUUCUUAUUUCUAAAAAAAUCAACAAGUGGUUUCUUUUAGCAAGUUCUUAAAUUUCUGUAAGGCAUGAAUGAUCUAUUAUGUAAGGAAAGUGUUUCAAUACAGGUAUUCUGUCCUUAAGUGUCAUGGAAACCAAACGUCCUAUAAUGCAAAGCUCUGCUGCGUGCAGAUCUGUCCUUCUUUCACUACUCUCUUCCAUAUUUAUAAUGUCUCUAUUCAUAGUUUAUGUGAAUAAUAAAGGCUGUGGAGUCCCCUGGAAUUCUUAUUUACUAUGCUCCCAUUUCCUUAAUUAUUAAAAGUUUUACACCUUCAUAAGAGAUGCUUAGUUGCUAGAGCCUCUCCAUACACUAAUUCCCAGAAGAUGCUUAAGACAUGAGUCCCAGGAAGGUAUCCAUUGCAGGAAUUCUGGAUAGGACUGUGAGCUUAUGGACAGACGUUGAUGCAAACUGACUUGAGACAGUGCAACCGUUAAGGUCCCUUUAGAAAAUAUUGGUAGCUGCAAAAUUUUGGGGGGAGAUGCAGUUUAUAUAUUUAUCCACAACAUUAUUACUAGUUUAUAAAUAAAUGUAAAUCUCAAACCAAAUUAUUAAACAAACACAGUUUACCAAGUAUGAACAAAACUGUGAAAAUUUGAUAACAUUCCCACUCUCAGUCCUUUCAAGUGCCCUUCUGAAGACCACCUUGCUUAAAACGUUUACUUGAAACAAUUAUAACAAUAAUCUGGAGGCAAGAUUUGGCUAAUACUAUAUCUGCCAUCACAAAAACAGAAUUCUCCACUGCACUGUCUGGACUCCAGUGCAAGUAAGAUCUAAGCCUCAAGCUUUGUGUCCAAAGAUCCUUUCAUGCAAGGGUGGGAGGUAUCUCUAAAUCUUUAGACAACACUCAUAUCUUAAAUACCACUACUGUUACCAAUAAGGACCUAUUUGUAAUAUUCAUUAUGCUUUCAUACAAGCAUGAUUUUCACAAAUGAAGCCCCAUUUCUUAUAUGCAUUAUUUUAAUCAGCAAAAAUCUAGCACUGACAAGAUAAAAAGAUAGCCGAAGUCCUUGUAGUACAUUUCUCUGAAGUGUGGACUUUCUGUUACAUGCUAGGUGAUCAUUCCUGGAAAGUGAAUUACCAAUUAAGGGUAUAAAUUAAACUAAAUAACACAUACAUAAUAUCACACAUCAAUGUUGAUAUAUUUUAAAGUAAAUUAAAGGUAGGCAAGUCACUAUUCACAAUAGCAGAAACAUGGAAUAAACCCAGGUGCCCGUCAACAGUGAAUUGGAUAAUGAAAAUAUGGUACAUAUGCACCAUGGAAUACUACACAGCUAUAAAGAGAAUGAAAUCAUGUCUUUUUGCAGCAACAUGGAUGCAGCUGGAGGCCAUUAUCCUAAGUGAACUAACGUGGAAACAGAAAACCAAAUACAUGCUCUCGCUUAUAAGGGAGCUAAACAUUGGGUACAUGUGGACACAAAGAUGGGAACAAGACACUGGGAAGUACUAGAGGAGUGAGUAAGGGGAGGAAUUAAAAAAAUACUUGUUGGGUAUUAUACUUACUAACUUGGUGACAGAUUCAUUCAUACUCCAAAUCUCAGCAUCAAGCAAUAUACCUUUGUUAAAAAUCUGCACAUGUACCCCCGAUUCUAAAAUAAAAGUAAAAAAGAAUAAAAAAAUUAAAAAAUUAAAAUGUGCAUUUGUUAUUCUGAAAUUUUCGGGGAUUAUAAGUGUUUAUGGUUUAAAAAGUUCAGGCUCAGGCCAGGCAUGGUGGCUCACACGGGUAAUCCCAGCACUCUGGAAGGCCAAGGCAGGCCAAUUGCUUGAGCUCAGGAGUUCCCAGCUUUGGCAACAUAGCAAAACGUUUCUACAAAACACACAAAAAAUCAGUAGGAUGUGGUGGCAUGUGCCUAUAGUCCCAGUUACUUGGGGUGCUGAGGUGGGAGGAUUGCUUGAGCCCAGGAGGCUGAGGUUGCAGUGAGCCAAGAUUGCACUACUACACCCCAGCGUGGGUGACAAAGUGAGACCCUGUCUCAAAAAAAAAAAAAAAAAGUUCCGUCUCAGGGAUAUUGCAGGAUUCAAGACUAGUAUUUUAGCCAUAUUGAGAUUUAAGUAAUUUUGCAUCAUAAUGAGGAAACAAAAACAACUGUGGAGUAGUAGCUCCAGAAUUUCUGACUCUAUUUGGAAGGAGGGUCUAGGAAACUUGUAUGGAAGCUCUGUUUGCAUAACAGGCCACUUUUUUACUUGGAUAUUAUGCUUAUUUGGAUGGUUUUGAACAUGAGAUUAUGGGUGAUCUGGCUUUGGUAUUUUCACCAGCCAAACUUGUGAAAUAUUACCCUUUAAAAAGCUGGGGUGGGUGUGUGUUUUGUUUUUAAUAAUUCAUCUGUAAUAUGUAUAAGGCAUUUAUACCACAUUUAAAAAUUUUUUGAAUGUUCGAUAAUUUUAAUCUAUAAGAGAGACUAAAUUAUUUGAUGAAUGGGAAGCUUUAUUGCAGAGUUGAUUUGAGCUCCACAGAUGACAGUAAGAGAUUGUAAAAGUUCAUUUUCUAUAACACUAAACAUUAGUGUAUACUAGGAUCUAAACAUAAUGGCAGGUCUAAUAACAAGUAUGUUUCUAGUCUAACAAUAUAGUAUUAUUUUAUAUUCAUAAUAUUUGUUUUUUCUAAGGAAGUAGUAAAUUGGAGUGUAACACAAUGAUCAAUCUAAGUGUUGCCAUAACAUUUAUAGUUUCAUUAGCCAAUUAUAAUCUUUGAUUGUGAUUUUUGAAAGCUAUUUACAAGGACAGCUUAACCAGUAUAAGACUUCACUUUUUCAUCUAUACAAUUACAAUUCUCUCUUGAAAGAAAAUUGCACUUGUAAAUCAUUGAUGAUGAAAGAAUCUGUAUAAAAUUUUAAGUUCUUCCUUAGGCUGCAAAUUAUAAUGAAAUUUUUAAACAUAUGGUUGUCAAUUAGUGUGCUUUUUUCCUUUUGAAAUAAACACUUCUGCCUUAAAAUCUUGCUCUUUUCUUUAGAAACUGAAGCCAUUUGUUCUUUGUUUUUAAAGUCUUUAAUCUUAAAACCUAUUUUAAAUUUCAAAAGGCUUAAAGCUUUUAUGUGGUCCCUUGAGCUUAGGCAAGAAAUAGAUUUUGGGAUCACUAACAUAUGGAAGAGAUUGGAUAAGAUCAUCCUGAGAGAGAAAAUGUAAUGAGAAAGAAUAGGACAGAGGAAAGAGCUCUGAGGGAUGCCAGCAUCUAGAAAAAAGGAAGAAAAGGAGUUCACAAUAAGAGAGAAGGGAAAUUUGGAUAUUAUGACAUCUUGAAUGCCAGGGAAAAAGAUGAGUCACUGUUUUACAUUUCUGGUUAGGUUAUAGAAGGUUGAAAAGACCAUUGAUUUCAUUGUAUCUAUGGAUAAACUAAAAAUAAUGUUUGAUAUGGUUUGGCUGUCUCCCUACCCAAAUCUCAUUUUGAAUUCUAGUUCCCAUAAUCCCCCAUGUGUCAUGGAAGGGACGUGGUGGGAGGUAACUGAGUCAUGGGGGUGCAUGGGGGUGGUUACCCCCAUACUGUUCUCAUGAUAGUGAGUGAGUUCUCACAAGAUCUGAUGGUUUUAUAAGGGGCUUUUCCCCCUUUUGCUCGGCACUUCUCUCUCCUCCCACCAUGUGAAGAAGGAUGUGUUUGCUUCCCCUUUUGCCAUGAUUGUAAGUUUCCUGAGGCCUCCUAAGCCCUGUGGAACUCUGAAUAAAUUAAACCUCUUUCCUUUAUAACUUACCCAGUCUUGGGCAGUUCUUCAAAACCCAGCGUGAGAACGUACUAACACAAUGUUUGUAUUUUAAGUCAUCAAAGAGUUGUAGAAUCAAAUAACUCUAAAGAAACUGAAUUCCAAAGUUAGAUAAACUUAUCUAGAUUAUCACAAGUCAAUGGCCACUUGCAUUCCGAGGGUAGUCUGGGGAUCUGUUUCCCUUUGUCCCAACAAUUUGAGAAAGAAAAUUAUUAGGACAAAGGGAAAACAAUCAAGCUAGGCUGACAUAAUGGAUUGAAAUCUGAAAGAAAUGUAAGAGCCCUGCCUUCUCAUCAAUUUUCUCCUAUGGGAAUUUUGCUGAAUAAAGUCACACUUGUUGUGAAGCUAAAGCUGCCCUCAAAAAUAUAUUAAGAAUAUCUGCAAUGCAGAAUUUAUUGGAUUGGAUUAAUAGCAGACUGAAUUAAAUAGAAGAAAUUAUUAGUGACAGGCCAAUAGAAAUAAUAAAACUGGAGUACAUAAAAAGAUAUUUUUAAAAGUAUCUUUUUAAUUUAAUUUAAAAAUUAUCAUUUUAACAGAACUGAACAGAAAAGCAAAUAUCUGAAAGAAAAUAUUGACAGUCUAGUAUGCAUGUAAUUGGCGUCCCAGGAGAGCAAAUGGAGAAUGAGGUAGAAAUAUAUAUAUGAAGAGAGACUAGCCAAUAAAUUUUAAACAAUUUAAAAUUUCAAAUUUUUAAAAAAGCAACUGGUUAAAAAUCUGAAAUCAUAGAACUAAAAGGCUUAGUGAACACCAGGCAGAGUAAUUACAAAGAAAAUCUUGCCUGGGUACAUCAUAGUCAAACUAUUUAAAACCAAAGAUAAAGAGAAAGACCUUACAAAACACCUUAGGUAUGAAUGAGAAAUGACUAGCUACAAAUAAUGAGGGAAGCCAGAAGACAAUGGAAUAACCUUAAAAUGCCAAAAGAAAAUCAAUACAUACUUCUUUAUCUAAUAAAAGUAUUGGUCCAUUUGCAGGUGAAAUGAAAAUGUUUUUAGACAGCAAAACAUAAGAUUAUUCAUCACUAGCAGGAAAACAUGAAGAAUACAAAAAUUAAGAAAGCUUCUUUAGGAUGAAAAGAAGUAAGCCCAGGUGGAAGACUGGAUCUCCAUAAAAAAAAUGGAGAGCACAAAAAAGGGUAAAUAUGUGGUUGAAUAUUUUAAAACAUUUAAAAAUUUUUUUUAGCUGUUUAAAGCAAAUACAGUAACAAUGCAUUGUGGAAUUUAAAAUAAUAAAGAAGUAAACUAUAUAACAAUAGCACAAUGGGAAAGGAGACAUAUAUAAGGUCCUUACAUUGUUUUUGAAGUUGUAUACUAUUAACUUGGGGUUCAUUGUGAUAAAAUAAGAAUUAAUAUUGUAAUCUGUAAGUAAUCACUUAGAAGCAAUAUGCAAUGAAAAAGCCAACAGAAUAGAUAAAAUGGUAUACUAAAACUAUUCAAAUAAUAUAUAAAAAGCCAUGAAAUGUGGAGCAAAGAAAAAGAAAAAGAGAAAGGACAAACAGAAAUCAGCUAGCAAGGUGGAAAACACAAGUUUAACCAUAUCAGUAAUUACAUUAAAUAUUAAUAGAAUAAAAACUCCACUUAAAGUACAGAAAAUAUCAGGUUGGAUUUAAUUUAAAAACAAGACCCAACAAAUCAGUUUAUAAUUGGAUGUUCUUUUAUAAUCCAGCCUAACAUUAUCUAGCCUUCAAACAUAAGAAUGCAAAGAGUUUGGAAAUAAAAGGAUUAGGAAGCUUAUAAUAAAAAGAUUAAUGUAGCUAUAUUAACAUCAGAUAAAGUGGAUUUCAAGCCAAUAAGUAUUACCAGGAAUAAAGAAAACAUUUCAUAAUAACCAAAGGGUCAAUUCAUUGGGAAAACAUGAUAAUUCUAAAUGCAAAUGCCCCUAGUAACAUAGAUUCAAAAUAUUUGAGAUAAAAUCAAACAGAAAUAAAAGGGAUAAUAGACAAAUCCAUAAUCAUAGCUGAAGAUUUUAACUCUCCUCUUUCAGAAAUCUGUAAAUGAAGUGUAAAAAAAAAAAUCAACGAGUAUAUGGUGGAUUUGAAUAAUACUGUCAAGCAGCUUGAUGAAAUUGAAAUGUAUAGAACAACAUACUCAGUAAUUGCAGGAUACAUGUUAUUUUUAAAUGCAUUCAAAACACUCGCCAAAAUAGGCCAUAAACUGGGCCAUAAAUUAAGUUGCAAAACAUUUCAAAGGAUUGAAAUCAUGCCGAGUAUAUUCUCUGACUUAAAUGAAACUAGAAAUCAGAGUUUAAAUAAUAACUGGGAAAUCCUCAAAUAUUUGAAAAUUAAGAAAUAACUUUUAAAAUAAACCAUAGGAGAUAUCAUAAGGGAAAUUUAAAAAUAUUUUAGAUCAAACAAGGAUGAAAAUACAACAUAUCAAAUUUUGUGGGAUGCAGCUAAAGCCUUGAUAAGAGAAGACAUUUUAAUACUACAUGCAAAUAUUAGAAAGAAAAAUAAUUUUAUUUAAAAAAUGUAAUCUUCCACUUCAGAAAGCUAGAUAGAAAAGAGCAAAUUAAACUCCAUGGUUGUAGAAGAGGAAAUGACAAUGAUGAGAACAGAAAUCAGUGAAACAGAAAACAGAUGAACAAUAGAGAAAACCAACAAAUCCAAAAGUCAAUUCUAUGAAAAGAUUAAUACAAAUUUGUAAUCCCCUAGCAAGGCCAGUUAAGAAAAAGUAAAAAAUAUAAAUUAUCAAUAUCAGCAGUAAAAUGAGAUACAUGACUACAGAUUUAAAAGAAUAAGAAUAAACAGGGAAUAUUAUAAACAAUUUUACUCCAGUAAGUUUGACAACUUGGGAAAAAUGUAUAUAUUCCUUGAUAAAUACAAUUUUUUGAAACUAAUCCAAAAAUAAAUAGAAACUAUAGAAGUCUCAUAUUGGUUAAUAAAGUUGAAUCUACAAUUAAAAACAUUUCCACAAAGCCCAGAUGGCUUUAUUAAUGAAGUCUACCAAACAAUAAAGGAAGAAGCAAUACAUUCUAUACAAGCUCUUUCAGAAUAUACAGGAAGAGAAAAUGCCUUCCAACUAGCUUUAUGAGGCCAGAGAACCGUGAAACCAAACUUGGCAAGUGCAAGAGAACAGGUCCCUGGGUGGCCUUGGCUCACCCAGUUCUUCCUCCCGUUGCUUGCAAUUCUCUUGCUGAAUGUCCUGAGAAUACAACAUCCUAAGAUAAGGACGAAAUGCCUGGAAAAAGUCCAGAUUAUGUCUUUGAUCCUCUGCAUUAGUCCAUUUUCAUGCUGCUGAGAAAGACAUACCUGAGACUGGGCAAUUUACCAAAGAAAGAGGUUUAAUUGGACUUACAGUUCUACAUGGCUGGGGAGACCUUACAAUAAUGGCUAAAGGCAAGGAGGAGCAAGUCACAUCUUAUGUGGAUGGUAGCAGACAAAUAGAGAGCUUGUGCAGAGAAACCCCCAUUUUUAAAACCAUCAGAUCUCUUGAGACCCAUUCACUAUCAUGAGAACAGCGCAGGGAAGACCUGUCCCCAUGAUUCAGUUGUCUCCCACUGGGUCCCUCCCACAGCAUGUGGGAAUUAUGGGAGCUACAAAAUGAGAUUUAUGUGGGGACACAGAGCCAAACCAUAUCAUUCUGUCCCUGGCCCCUCCCAAAUCUCCUAUCUUCACAUUUCCAGUUUCCAGUUUCCAGUUUCCAGUUUAAAAAUCAGUCAUGGCUUCCCAACAGUCCCCCAAGUCUGAACUCAUUUCAGCAUUAACUCAAAAGUCCACAGUCCAAAGUCUCAUCCUAGAUAAGGCAAAUGCCUUCUGCCUAUGAGCUCGUAAAAUCAAAAGCAAGUUAAUUACUUCCUAGAUUCAAUAGGGGUAUAGCCAUUGGGUAAAUAUAGCUAUUCCAAGUGGGAGAAAUUGGCCAAAACAAAGGGGCUACAAGCCCCAUGCAAGUCAGAAAUCCAGUGGGACAGUCAAAUCUUAAAGUUCCAAAAUGAUCUCCUUUGACUCCAUGUCUCACAUCCAGGUCAUGCUGAUGCAAGAGGUGGGUUCCCAUGGUCUUGGGCGGUGCUAUCCCUGUGGCUUUGCAGGGUACAGCCUCCCUCCCGGCUGCUUUCACAGGCCGACAUUGAGCGUCUGAGGCUUUUCCAAGCACACGAUGCAAGCUGUUAGUGGAUCUACCAUUUUGGGGUCUAGAAGACGGUGGCCCUUUUCUCACAGCUCCACUAUGUGGUGCCCCACUGGGCACAGGUACCAAUGGUAUUAAAAAGCUGUAGAGACACAUUUAAAAUUUAUACAUUCUACUCUAUUUUAUUUAUUCCUGAAAGCACUGAGAAAAAUACAAAAAUGCUGCAUAAAUUAAAAUAAGAUCAGCACUGAAAAGCAUCCAUUGGAAGGAGGCCGUUGAUUGCCUUCUUUGAGAAUAAUAAACGUGAAAUCAGUUUAGAUAGCAUAGAGAGAAAGAGAUGGAGACACUGAAUAUAGUUAAUUCUUUUAAGAAGAUUUGCUAUGAGGAAAAGGAAAACAGAUUUGAUGGCAGUAGGAGGGAAACGUGCACAUUUAUUCUUUAGGGCCAGAAGGGAAAGGAUGCCUCAUAGAUCUGAAAUUCUUUUAAUUUAUAGUUAUUAUGGGAAAAACUAAAAAAUCAGAAUAUUCAAAGCAUUUCCUUUUUUGUACAGUUUUAGAUUUACAGAAAAUUUAAGGGUAUAAUAAAGAGUAGUAGCAUCGAGUUCCAUAUACCUGCUUUUGCUUUCCCCUGCCCCCACCCCACCCUGUAUAGUUUCCCUUAUUAUUAAUAUCUUAUAUUAGUGUGGUACGUUUGUUACCAUUCAUGAACAAAAUUGCUAUAUUAUUAUUAACUGAAGCUCAUGGUUUACAUCAAGUUUCAAUCUUUCCAUUGUACAGUUUUAUGAGUUUUGGAAAAUGUGAAAAAUGCAUGAUGUCAUAUAUAUAUUAAUACCAUAACAGUUCAAUGCAGAAUAGUUUCAGCAUCCUAAAAAUUGCCUGUGCUUCACCUAUUCAUCCCUUCUCCAACCCUCUUUUUUUUUUUUUUUUGAGGCAGAAUCUCUCUCUCUCUCACCCAGGCUGGAGUGAAGUGGCACGAUCUCAGCUCACUGCAACCUCUGCCUCCCAGGUUCAAGUGAUUCUCCUGCCUCAGCCUCCUGAGUAGCUGGGAUUACAGACGCGUGCCACCACUCCUGGCUAAUUUUUGUAUUUUUAAUUGAGACUAGGUUUCACCAUGUUGGUCAGGCUGGUCUUGAACUCCUCACCUCAGGUUAUCCACCCACCUCAGCCUCCCAAAGUGCUGAGAUUACAGGCGUAAGCCAUCGCGCCCGGCUCCUCUUUUUGUUUAUAAAUAGAAAAAUUACCAAACUAUCUCCAAUCCUUAGAACCCCUGGUAACCAAUGAUGUUUUUACUGUCUCUACAGCUUUACCUUUUCCAGGAUGUUACAUAGUUGGAAUCAUACUUCUUUUAUCUUAAAAGUUAGCUCUGCACAUUUGCAGUCAAUCUUUUCUUUUACCCCCAGCAUCAGACAACUACUGAUCUGUUUUCUGACUCCAUAGUUUGUCUACUAUAAAAAUUUGUAUACAUAUAAUUAUACAAUAUGCAGAUCUUUAAAAUGGCUUUGUUAUUAGCAUAUUUAUCAAUUUCAUCUGUUUGUUGCAUGUAUCAGUAGUUUGUUCUUUUUAAUUGUUGAGUAGUACUCCAUGGUAUAUAUUUAUUUACUGCAGAUUUUGGAAGAACCAUUCUUGUUGUAUGUAUUUUUUAGGUUCCAAAAAUUUGUUACUGUUGUCACCUCUCUUCUUGUGAAUUUCUGUCGUUAUAACAUGCAGUUAUAGUGAAGCUUUUGAGACACUGAAAUUGAAGGUGUCUGCUAAAGCUACUCUUUAAACUCAGAAGUUUUUUUUUUUCCUUUACUUCAUAAGGUGAUAGGUGAAGACUUGUCCCAUCAUUUUACUGUGAGGAGAAUAAUUACUAUGACAUUUCAAGUAUGUAAAAUUAAAAUAUAUCUAAUGAAC